UGGAAAGUAACAGUUACUUGGAUAACUGCGGUAAUUCUGGAGCUAAUACAUGCAUAAAGCCCCAACUCACGAAGGGGCGCUUUUAUUAGAUCAAAACCAAACGGCUUCGGCUGUACUCUUGGUGAUUCUGAAUAACUUUGGGCUGAUCGCAUAGCCUUGCGCUGGCGACAUAUCCUUCGAAGGUGUGCCCUAUCAACUGUCGACUGUGGCACAGACGCCCACAGUGGUUUUGACGGGUAACGGGGAAUCAGGGUUCGAUUCCGGAGAGGGAGCCUUAAAAACGGCUACCACAUCUAAGGAAGGCAGCAGGCACGCAAAUUACCCAAUGACCGAAGGUCGAGGUAGUGACGAAAAAUAACGAUAGCGGACUCAUCCGAGGUCCGCUAAUUGGAAUGAGUACACUUUAAAACCGUCCCCGAGGAUCUAUUGGAGGGCAAGUCUGGU
rnacentral:rRNA from 1 species